GUAUAUAUGCAUUUAAAUUUUAUUUAAUAAUUUUAUAGACUAAGUAAAGGUUGGUUGAGGAAUAUUAUAGUUUAAUUUAAUAUCGUUAUACUGUAAAGGUGUUGGGUUUUAGUAGAGAAAAAUUUAAUUGAUGGGUACCUUUUGUAUCAGGGUAAAUUUAAUUAAAUAUUUAUUUGUAUAUCCCGAAUUUAUUAGAUUUAAUUUAGUUAAUAAUUACUUGUAUUAUAAAGUUUGGAUAAGCUAAAUUAGUAAUGAAAUGUUAGGCGUGAAUAUGGGUAUCUGGUUUUUUUGUUAAAAAUUUAAUUUUUUCUAUGCAUGUGCUUGGGGUAUAGGGUAUUAACUGUUGUGGAUUUUUUUAAUAGGGGAUAAUCUUUUUUAAUAUUUAUAAUUAUAAAUUUUGUUUAUUUUUGGUUAGGUAUAUUUUAAAUUGAUGAAGUUAAUAUUUAAUAAUAGAGAGAGAGGCAAUAUGUUUUUAUUUUUAAAUAUUUAAGUAAGUAAAAAAAAAUAAUAAUUAAUUUUUUUAUAAGAUAGAAUAUGAUUUUAUUAGUAUAGAAUUUGUUUAUUUGGUAAUUUAUUAUGUUGAAAUAUUUAAGUAUUUGUAAUUGAGGAAUUAGGCAUAAUUAAUGUUUACCUGUUUAUCAAAAACAUGGUUUUAGGUUUUUAUUUGAAAUUACUUCUGCUCAAUGAUGAUUUAAAUGGCUGCGGUAAAUUGACUGUGCAAAGGUAGCAUAAUAAUUAGUUUAUUGAUUGUAAACUGGGAUGAAUGGAAUGAUGAAGCAUUAGCUGUCUUAAUUUAAAUGCGUUUGAAUUUUACAUUUAAGUUAAAAGACUUAAUUAAAUUUAAGGGACGAGAAGACCCUAUAGAACUUAAAUUUUACAGGAUUGAUUUUAUUUAAUUUGUUUUAAGUUAAUUGUUUAUGAGUUUUGUUGGGGUGAUGGUUAAAAUUUAUAAACUUUAAUUUUUAUAUUUCAUUUUUUUGGUAUGUUGCUAUUUUAUUUAGAAUGUUAAUGAUCUUUUUUUAUGAUUACAAGAUAAAGUUACCUUAGGGAUAACAGCGUUAUUUAUAUGGAGAGUUCUAAUUAAUAUAUAAGUUUGCGACCUCGAUGUUGAAUUAAAAUUAAUUUUUGGUGAAGAAUUUAAGUGGAUUAGGUCUGUUCGACCUUUAAAAUUUUACAUGAUUUGAGUUCAAACCGGUGUGAGCCAGGUUGGUUUCUAUCUUGCAUUAUUAUUUAUUUAGAUUAGUACGAAAGGACCAUUUAAUUUGAAUUAUUUAUUAGUUU
rnacentral:rRNA from 1 species